GACAGAGGGUGCAAACGUUGUUCGGAAUUACUGGGCGUAAAGCGCGUGUAGGCGGCUAUGUAAGUCGGGCGUGAAAUCCCACGGCUCAACCGUGGAAGUGCACCCGAAACUGCGUAGCUAGAGUCCUGGAGAGGAAGGUGGAAUGCUUGGUGUAGAGGUGAAAUUCGUAGAUAUCAAGCGGAACACCGGUGGCGAAGGCGGCCUUCUGGACAGUGACUGACGCUGAGACGCGAAAGCGUGGGGAGCAAACAGG
rnacentral:rRNA from 2 species